UACGUAGGGGGCGAGCGUUGUCCGGAGUUACUGGGCGUAAAGGGCGCGCAGGCGGUCUGGUAAGUUUGGAGUGACAGUGCUCGGCUUAACUGAGCAAGGCCUUCGAAAACUGCUAGACUUGAGCACUCAAGAGGGACAUAGAAUUCCGGGUGGAGUGGUGAAAUGCGUAGAUAUCAAGAGGAACACCAGUGGCGGAGGCGAGUCCCUGGACAAUUCCUGACACUGAGGCACGAAAGCCAAGGGAGCAAACAGG
rnacentral:rRNA from 1 species